rnacentral:misc_RNA from 1 species
UUGAUUGGUCGAAAGACCUUAUCAGAUUCUACCACCUCUGUGAACCGUUGACCUCCGGGUUAAUAAUCAACAUCAGUGUAACGAACGUAAGAGUAUCUUAAUUAAACA